CUAAACAACUAGGUUAGCUAUCUUAUUAGCUGACAGUGUUAGCCUGUCACUCCUGCAAGGAGCCAGGCAUAGUGUUCAUCAGGUAAAGACAUAGCUAUCUUUAAACUGGUUCACAUUCUUGCUUUGAAGAAAAAACGAAGAGCUCUCUCAUGCCGGUUCUCCAUCUUCUGGGAAUGCCAUCCUGACAUUAAUGGCCCAUUUAAGCAGAUCCAGCACAGUGAGACUGGAUUGACUGGAGAGAUCAGGCAGCCUCUGGACAUUGCAGCAUCAGCAACAGCAAGGCAAGUGCAAGACUCUUCAGCACAUCUUCCAGUCACACUGCUCACUAGGUACAGGCCAAUAUUAAGACAAAUACACAUCUGACUCCCACUGACACACACAGAGAGUACAAUAUUUGCAAGGGCAUGUAUUGUACAAGUAUGCAGAGACGUGUGAAAAGCCUCUGCACCAAUACCCUGACCAUAAAAGUGCAAGACGCCUCAGGAGGAAAAUCAAAAUGCAAAAAAUCAAUAGUCGGCUCUUUGUCAUGUUUGCAUAGCACGCGGCAUUAAUUUUCACAAUGAGUAGCCAGUAGGGAUGGGAGUGCUUGGUACCAGGAACAGUACACUGAAUAAUACAAUAGAACACUAUUGAUUUUUAAGAACACUGCACGCUGGAAAGCAGAUUGCGCCUCUGCCAAUUAAAAGACGUCAUGUUUAUUUGCUCUAGAAUGAUGUGUUUGAACGGGCUUUACAAUAUUUGCAGAACGGAUUAACUGAGUGGGGAAGUGACUCAAUGUGAUACAGUUCCACAGAUGGGGAAACUAGAAAAACUGUUUUGUGAAGGGAUACAAAAUGUAUAGG